rnacentral:pre_miRNA from 1 species
GGGGGGUGGCCGGAUCCUGGGCUGUGUCCCCGUGCCCAGUGCUCCUUGGCCUGCGCUGUUGGAUUCGCGCUCCGGCCAGGCAGCCCCCU